AUGUUGAUUUAUCUUGUUAUCCACCAAACCAUGGUCUCAGGUCCCAUUCCAAACGAGUUAGAAAGGCUUGUCAGCCUGCAGGGUUUACAGCUAAGCAACAGCGCCUUAAGUGGCAACAUACCCGCAACUCUUGCAAACCUGACCCAGCUAAAUGUUCUGUUAUUGUAUGGUAACAAACUGUCGGGGCCGAUACCCCAUGAGCUAGGCAAGCUAGUCGAUCUGCAAUUCCUUCAACUUGAUGAAAAUAAACUAACCGCUCAAAUCCCUUUCUCCAUAUCCAAUCUAACUAUGUUAAAUGAACUCUCUCUCGUCGAAAAUCAAAUCACAGGUUCCAUCCCCGCUGAAAUAGGAAGGCUAGUCAUGUUAAACAAACUUGAUCUCUACCAAAAUCAAAUAACAGGAACAAUACCUCCAGAAGUAGGCAACCUCACUAGGCUCAAGAUACUUCGUGUCUAUAAAAAUUGA
rnacentral:rRNA from 1 species